AAUUGAGAUCAGCACCUAGCAAAGGCUACAUGGCUAGUCAACACUAGAGGCUCCAUCAAUCUAGCUGGCCCUGCCCAAUCAGAGUCCCUUCACACUGUGGAUGGAGACAGAAUCCCAGUAAUUCACUUGAGAGGUAUGUAAGGUAAAGCAGUUUGGAUUAACCCCACUUUGAGCAAAGGCAAACCCAUUCAUGGGAUUGUCUUUGCUCAGGGACCAGGAUAUACUUGGCAGAUAAUGAGAGAAGACGGAGAAACCCAGUGUGUGCCUCAAGGAGAUUUAACCUUGGGAAAGAACUAAUUCGUAUUCUGAGUUGUAUGUUGCAGAAAAUAAGUCACCAGACAAGAAAGACCCGAACUAAGCUGACACUGGUGCUCAACGAUGAAACAGCCUUAGGAGAGAAGACCUGCAUAAGCGCAGGAUAUAGGCAAAUACGGCAUAUGAGUGUGACGUAAAAUGGUAUAGAAUAAGGGGUGGAGAUUGUAGUGGGUUUGUUACCCUACCUGGGAGGGAAAAGGCACUAGGAUAGGUCACCUGAUUUAUAUUUUACCAGUGAGGUAUUCCAUACCAUAUUACGUCAGCUCAAAUAUAAAGAGGGGAGAAGGAAACAACUCUGUCCUUCUCUUCCGGGAUAGCUGCGCAGAAUAGAUGGCUGUUCUUUGGAGGAGGAAAACUCUUCUCGUGGGGAAGUAGUCUUUACUGUGAGUUUUCCCUGUAUGUGUAUAGUGCUUAUAGUUCUUAUUUUCUUCUCUGUGUACAUAUAAACUGCUUUUUCUUAGAAACCUUGGGUUUACGUUUUGGUUUUUUCUGCCCUCUUCCCUUUCUCUUUGGAGGUGGGGGAGGUUAGUGCAGUUUCGGUGGACACCUGGCGUUCAGCCAAGGUAAACCUGCCACACUGUUGUUUUGUAAAAAAACCAUAAAAAUGGAGGGGUUGAGAAGGCUGAAAAAGUAGGACUUAAAGAAGGGCAUGUUGUUUGGAAUGUGCAUUUGGACAGAAAAACGAUAUCCAAAGAUCAACAUCUCUGAGAACAGCCCAUUUACCAAUGUCUAAACAGCUAACAACUAAAUGUAAAAGUGUCUACUCAGUCUAAUAAAAAUGUACUAUUAUAUUAUUUACUACAGUAUAAAAUUUAAAACACUAACACGAAGAAGGUAAACAGAAAACUGAAUAUUUACUGUGUCAAAGACUAACAUUACUUUUCAAAGUUCAAGUCAAAUAUUGCUACUAAUAAUACUGACAAGAAUUAUUGAGUGAAAUUAUUCUGAAUCAGAGUAUACAGAAGCACUGAAUUUGGCCAUUUGUUUCUUGCUUUGUGAUAUCCAUUUCCACUGACUGCCUCAAGCUUUGGACACCUGGAAAGAGCCAUGGGCUCUCACGUUAGCUAAUGGUUAAGACUCUCAGUUCUAUGUACAAGGUGACACAAAAUCUUUUAAUUUCUGGUAUGUCUACCCCUCUGGAAGUGCCACUGCUAUUCAUUUGUUCAAUGGCUUGUAUCUGGUAUUUUCAACAAAUAUUGCCCCCACUCUCUAUACCCUAAAAUGAUAAAUGCAUCACCUGGUGGCUAUCCACUAGUUCCUGCCUAAUAAUUCUCUCUUAAAAGGCGACAUAACACUUCAGAAGUGGAAAAUGAUCAUCCCACAAGGAAUUCUGAAGAGAGAAGGAAGGACAUAUGUAAGAGUAAGCAUGUAGUGAACCAAUCUUUAACCACAAAAUGCCUGUGUACUCUUGAAAAUACAGAUAAACCCUAUAAUGAAGCACCAGCUAAACAACUAAAUAUAAACCACACAAAGCCACCAGUGAUAGAGACUCCUUGUAUCUGCUCAGUUAAUAGUUUUUCUGCAAACUAGAGUGAUUUUCCAGGGUGCUUAUAAGAACUUCUGCUAGCACGCUUUCCAUACGCUUGAAAUGUAGCAUCAGUGGAAGUGCCAAAGGCUUCAUUAACACUGCUAAUGGUACCCACCUUGGACAGGUGUGGAUGGAUCCCCAGGUAAGUAACAGAGACUGGCCCAUGUCCCUCUGUAGAUGGUUUGCCUCUCUAGAGCAGACUGACUGCACACAUGCUUCAGAGCAUUCAGCCUAGAAAUGUUCAGAAAGAGAAUGUCAUCUACAGCAGUUUUGUCCAGGUCUCACAUGUAGGACAAAUGUAGGACAGGAACCCCUUGCCCUCCUCAUUCUUUACUCUUGACAUGAGAGCAUCCUUUGCAGGACAUACUGGUUCUCUAUCAGCUCAGGUAUCCAGAAAAAAUUCAUUACUGUGAGGGUGGUGAUGCACUGGAACAGGUUACCCAGAGAAGCUGUGGAUGCCCCAUCUGGAAGUGUUCAAGGCCAGUCUGGACAGGGCUUCAAGUAAUGUGAUCUAGUGGAAAAUGCCCCUGGCGGGGAAAGUUCCCCUGGUGGGGAAGCUGGAACUAGAUGAUCUUUAAGGUCCCAUGCAACCCAAACUAUUCUAUGAUUCUAUGGUUUUACUCUGGGAGGUAGAAUGUGAUUGACGGGUGAUGUGGUUGAGGGAUGGUGAAGUGUCAGGCACUGUUCUGCAGUACAGUCCGUGUGCAGUCAGGAUACACCAUCCCAGAGCUCCUCUGGCUGCAGCACAGGUAAUGCAGUGCAGCUGCAAUACUGGUAACUGAUAUUCCCACAUCAACAUCCAUGGUCUUUCCUGAA